UACAGAGGCCUCGAGCGUUAAUCGGAAUCACUGGGCUUAAAGGGUGCGUAGGCGGAUUUUCAAGUGCCUUGUGAAAUCCCAUGGCUCAACCAUGGAAUUGCUCGGUAGACUGAGGAUCUUGAGGUAGGUAGGGGUCACUGGAACUCUAGGUGGAGCGGUGAAAUGCGUAGAUAUCUAGAGGAACGCCGAUGGUGAAGACAGGUGACUGGGCCUAUUCUGACGCUGAUGCACGAAAGCGUGGGGAGCAAACGGG
rnacentral:rRNA from 1 species